rnacentral:rRNA from 1 species
UUCGGAGGGGGCUAGCGUUAUUCGGAAUUACUGGGCGUAAAGCGCAUGUAGGCGGACUGGAAAGUUGGGGGUGAAAGCCCAGGGCUCAACCCUGGAACUGCCUUCAAAACUCCCAGUCUUGAGGUCGAGAGAGGUGAGUGGAAUUCCGAGUGUAGAGGUGAAAUUCGUAGAUAUUCGGAGGAACACCAGUGGCGAAGGCGGCUCACUGGCUCGAUACUGACGCUGAGGUGCGAAAGCGUGGGGAGCAAACAGG